ensembl:lncRNA
GGACAGCGCAGCUCUGUGCCCUUCAGUGCAACCGGUGGCACUUUGUUUUUCACAGAUCCUUGGAGGUACUGCAAACCACACAGGUGUUACUCUGCUUUUUGUUUCUUUUGUUCUUCAAGCAGUAGGAAGGUCCUUCAAAGAGACUCAAUCUCCUUCAAUUAGAUUCAAGGCUAUUUUUUCAGUGAUUGUUAUACUCUCAAGAGAAAACUUCAAAAUGACUUCUACCUGGGCUUUAAGUACUGGCAAGGAUUGCAGAAAGAAUGGAGAAAGCUUUAUGAUGCUCAAGAAUUGCACCUAUGUUCAACAAAAACUCUUCAUGCAAUCCCAUCUGAAAUAUCUUCAUGGCCUGUAUCGUGUAUUUUGCACAACAAACAAACAACAUGCAGAAGCAAUUUCAAAUGUUAAUGUAAGACUUCAAUUGUUGGAGACAUUAGAUGUGAUUUUGGAUUCACUCUCAUUUAUUUUACGCAAAGUGUCACAUGGAGAAUUCUUGAAUUAGCUCAGUGCAUUUCAGUCCUAUCAGUUUGUUGUACUCUCCAAAGUUCAGUUAUGAUCUUCAGUAUCAGGGAGAAAUAUCAGUAAACAGAAGCAAGAGACUUUUUCCAUUAUUUUGGGACUGUGAAGAGAAAUGAAUGACAUAUUCAUCCAGGAUCUGUGUAGGAAGUGGAGGACAUCCUUGCCGCAUGCCAGCUCCUCUGUGCAAGAAAAGAGAAUUCCACAAGCAAAACUCAAAAAGUGUAGCUACACAAGGAAAAAUGAAGAAUCCAAGUAGCCAGAUGAAUGCAUGUGCAAUUUUUGAUGACCCUUCUCUCACCAUGGCGAUGAGGCCUGGAAAGCAAAAGGUGCGGAGGUCUUCCGACCAGUGAGGGGUGCUAAGCCAGUAUGACCUCUGCUAGCAAAAUGAUGUCUCACUCCCAUUCUCAGAUUGAUAGAGUCGGCAAAGAAGGAAUAAUGCUGGGCAGCUUUGAAAAAGGUAACUAUUUAUCGUGACUGCUUAUUUCAGUAUUUUCUGAUGUGGAAGCAAAAACAUAUCAGAACCAAUUUCCUUGCCUUCUGUCAGUCUGCCUCACUUCUUC